CUGCGAAUGGCUCAUUAAAUCAGUUAUCGUUUAUUUGAUAGUACCUUACUACUUGGAUACCCGUGGUAAUUCUAGAGCUAAUACAUGCUAAAAACCCCGACUUCGGGAGGGGUGUGUUUAUUAGAUAAAAAACCAACGCCCUUCGGGGCUCCUUGGUGAUUCAUGAUAACCUCUCAGAUCGCACGGCCUUGCGCCGGCGACGGUUCAUUCAAAUUUCUGCCCUAUCAACUUUCGAUGGUAAGGUAUUGGCUUACCAUGGUUUCAACGGGUAACGGGGAAUUAGGGUUCGAUUCCGGAGAGUGAGCCUGAGAAACGGCUCACACAUCCAAGGAAGGCAGCAGGCGCGCAAAUUACCCAAUCCCGACACGGGGAGGUAGUGACAAUAAAUACUGAUACAGGGCUCUUUUGGGUCUUGUAAUUGGAAUGAGUACAAUUUAAACCUCUUAACGAGGAACAAUUGGAGGGCAAGUCUGGUGCCAGCAGCCGCGGUAAUUCCAGCUCCAAUAGCGUAUAUUAAAGUUGUUGCAGUUAAAAAGCUCGUAGUUGAAUCUUUGGCCUGGCUGGCGGGUCCGCCUCACCGCGUGCACUUGUCCGGCCGGGCCUUCUCUUCUGGAGAACCGCAUGCCCUUCACUGGGCGUGUUGGGGACCAGGACUUUUACUUUGAAAAAAUUAGAGUGUUCAAAGCAGGCCUUUGCUCGAAUACGUUAGCAUGGAAUAAUAGAAUAGGACGUGCGGUCCUAUUUUGUUGGUUUCUAGGACCGCCGUAAUGAUUAAUAGGGACAGUCGGGGGCAUCAGUAUUCAAUUGUCAGAGGUGAAAUUCUUGGAUUUAUUGAAGACUAACUACUGCGAAAGCAUUUGCCAAGGAUGUUUUCAUUAAUCAGUGAACGAAAGUUAGGGGAUCGAAGACGAUCAGAUACCGUCGUAGUCUUAACCAUAAACUAUGCCGACUAGGGAUCGGGCGGUGUUAUCGAUUUGACCCGCUCGGCACCUUGCGAGAAA
rnacentral:rRNA from 1 species